rnacentral:rRNA from 1 species
CCCCUAGAUGUUCUGGGCCGCACGCGCGCUACACUGAACAGUUCAACAAGUCUUAACCUUGGCCGAUAGGUCUGGGUAAUCUUUGAACGCUGUUCGUGAUUGGGAUAGACCUUUGCAAUUAUGGUCUUCAACGAGGAAUUCCUAGUAAACGCAAGUCAUCAACUUGCAUUGAUUACGUCCCUGCCCUUUGUACACACCGCCCGUCGCACCUACCGAUUGAAUGGUCCGGUGAAGCCUCCGGAUUGGCGUGCACCCUCGGGUGCUGCCGAGAAGUUGGCUAAACCUUACCAUUUAGAGGAAGGUGAANUCGUANCA